rnacentral:rRNA from 1 species
AAUGAACGCUGGCGGCAUGCCUAACACAUGCAAGUCGAACGAAGGCUUCGGCCUUAGUGGCGCACGGGUGCGUAACGCGUGGGAAUCUGCCCUCAGGUUCGGAAUAACAGCGAGAAAUUGCUGCUAAUACCGGAUGAUAUCGCGAGAUCAAAGAUUUAUCGCCUGAGGAUGAGCCCGCGUAGGAUUAGCUAGUUGGUGUGGUAAAGGCGCACCAAGGCGACGAUCCUUAGCUGGUCUGAGAGGAUGAUCAGCCACACUGGGACUGAGACACGGCCCAGACUCCUUCGGGAGGCAGCAAUGGGGAAUAUUGGACAAUGGGCGAAAGCCUGAUCCAGCAAUGCCGCGUGAGUGAUGAAGGCCUUAGGGUUGUAAAGCUCUUUUACCCGGGAUGAUAAUGACAGUACCGGGAGAAUAAGCUCCGGCUAACUCCGUGCCAGCAGCCGCAGUAA